GACUGUUUUACCAAAAACAUAGCCCUUAUACUUAUUAAAGGUGUUACCUGCCCAAUGAUUAAUAAUUAAAUAUUAAACAGUUUUAAAAUUAAUUUAAAGGACGCGGUAUCCUGACCGUGAUAAUGUAGCAUAAUCAUUCGCCACUUAAUUAGUGGAUAGUAUGAAUGGUAUAACGAACAUAACACUGUCUUAGUGAGAAACUUUACAAAAUUGAAGUAAUAGUUAAGAUACUAUUUUAAGUUGUAAGACGAGAAGACCCUAUAGAGCUUAACUAUAACCCUUUAUAAAAAUGAGAAUUAAUUUCUUAUGUAAAAGGGAUAGGUAGUUUAGUUGGGGCGACUAUCUUCUAAAAAAAACGAAGAUGAACAAAGUUAAUCAAAAACUUACUGUAUAAACCAUAAAUUUAACAGUUAUAUUCAUAGGUGAAAGAGACCCGUUAUAUAUACAUAAGAAUAAUAACGAUCAACAAAUAAAAGCUACCUUAGGGAUAACAGGAUAAUCUUGUUCAAGAGAUCUUAUCAAAAACAAGGUUUGUCACCUCUAUGUUGAAUUAAGAUAUCCCAGAAAUGCAGAAGUUUCUAAAGGUAGGUCUGUUCGACCUAUAAAAUCUUACAUGAUUUGA
rnacentral:rRNA from 1 species